rnacentral:rRNA from 1 species
UACGUAGGGGGCAAGCGUUGUCCGGAAUCAUUGGGCGUAAAGCGCGCGUAGGCGGCCCGGUAAGUCGGCUGUGAAAGUCCAGGGCUCAACCCUGGGAUGCCGGUCGAUACUGCCGGACUAGAGUUCGGAAGAGGCGAGUGGAAUUCCCCGGUGUAGCGGUGAAAUGCGCAGAUAUCGGGAGGAACACCUAUGGCGAAGGCAGCUCGCUGGGACGUUACUGACGCUGAGACGCGGAAAGCGUGGGGGAGCAAAACAGG